ensembl:lncRNA novel transcript
GUGCCGUGAGCGUGUGCCCGCGGUUCGGGGGAUGAGUAGGGGCGCUGACUUUUAGGACCAGCCAUUUGAGUCAAGCUGGAGACGACGUCUUAGAACCUAGGAUGAGUCUCGUUUGGUUUUAGUCUGCAAAGCUCGUCUGCAUCAGACAGGAAUUUUCCCCAGACGCGGGUGCACGUGAAUUAAUUCAUCAGAAGGCGGUUCACGGCCUGAGUGAGGGGGACGAGGGCGGCGAAUUCCUCCGCCUCAUUCCUACCCUGACGAUUCGAGGUGGGUGAGAGGAAGGCGUGGGGCGGCUGGGUGCGUGGGGUGGGGGAAGGUCACCUCUUCGGCCUCUCUGGGCCCUCCAGCCUCUUCCUGAGAGGAGCUCGCCUCGGCCCCUUGGUUGGGGGGAUGGGAGCGUCUCCGGAAGGCCCUCGGCCGAGCAGCUGGGCCUGCACCCCUGGUCCCUUCCAGUUCGUUUCUGCUGCGGCGGCAAGAGGCUGGGGAGCCGAUGACUCACCCUGCCGGCUAAUUGCAGCGUUAAAUAACUUUGCGCCGGAUUCGGUGGCUGCAGCAGGGAACGCGCUCCGGGCGCCGGGGGAGGUGGAGGGACGCCCUGAGAACGCACCUCCGUCCCUGUCACCAGCCUUAGCAAGUUCUGGCCUGUGGAGCCGUCAUCCAGAGCGCACAGCUUCAUGCCCUUGAAGGGCGCAGUGUGUCCCGUGGUGCCCGGUGGGCCCGGACAGAGACCCCAGAGGCUCUGUCUGAAGGAAGCUGCACCCACAGACUCCAUCCAGGCAGCGCGGGCGCGGUCCUGUCGCCUACCUUUCUCGGAAGCCAUCUGCCCAUGUGAAUCUAUGUGAAGGCCCUUCAUGCGCUCCUGGACAUCUGCGUGGGAUUUACUUCAACUGCUAUCGCUGCGAGGAGGACGAGCAUGUUUCACUGUAUUUUUAGCAGAGAGUGCAGAUUUUAGAACCUCGCGAACGGUCCUGUAUCUCCUGCACGAUGACUCUCCAGAACAGGAAUAGUGACCCUUCCUUUGCAUUUAUGGUGCAUAGGUUUUCAAAGGACAGUGUGUAAAUCAGCUUGUGUAAUAAUUGUGGCACCCACGCGCGCAAGCAGACUUACCAUGAGCUGACUUCCACUGAUUAUUUCAGUUUCCAGGGAAACGAGAUGCUCGCUUCACCCCACUGAGAUGUAACUCAGUUUUGUGGGAUCCCACUGCCCUCCAGGUGCCGCUCCGAGUGCUCUACACAGAUUUUCAUUCAGUCCUUGCGGCACACGAAGCCUGUUAAUAUGAUGAAUUACACUGAUUCAGUUUCAAAUGUCCAACCAAGCUUGCACUCCAGAGAUGAAGCCCACUUGAUCACAUGGAUUAUUCUUUUAAUAUAUGAUGGAUACGACUUGGCUGUUCUUUUGUUGAGGAUUUUUGUGUUUAUGUUAAUGAGGAUAUUAUUUGUAGUUUUCUUUUCUUGUAAUGUUUUUGUCUUUGUUCAGUGUCAGAGUAAUGCCAACUUCAUAAAGUGAGCUGGGAAGUACUCCCUCAUUUUCUGUUUUCUGUGAAAGAAUUGUAUAGAAUUGAUGUUAUUUCUUCCUUAAGUGUUGAGUAGAAUUCACUUGCAAAGCCAUCUGAGGUUGACAUCUUCUUUGGGAAUGACUUUAGCUAUAAAUUCAAUUUAUUUAACAGAUAUAGGGCUAUUAAGGUUAUUUAAUUUUUUUCUUGAAUGAGCUUUAGUGUCCUGUGUUUUUCAAGGAAUUUUUCCAUUUUAUUUAAGUUUUUAGAUUUGUUGGCAUAAAGUUAUCCCAAUAUUUCCUUAGAAGUUGUGACUUUUACUGCAUAUAAAACAUACCUCAAUAAAGCUAAUACAUACAUAU